UUUUUAUUACCCAACCCUUGAGUUGUUUUGUUUUUCAUUUACCCAACCUUUUACUCACUCAAAAUUUUGUUUACCCAACCUUUUUCCCUUCGGUGCAACCCCCCACCAUAAAUAAUGACCGAUCCCUUAGGGUGUGUUUGAGCAAUACCGUAGCAUUAGAAAACAAUUUUGUUUCAAUUUUAAUACUAAUUUACUUUUUCAAUAGGCAGCUAGUGAGUAAAGAUGAGAAACUGAAGCUUGGACUCAGCUUCGUUUAUGAUGCUCCACCAGGAUUUAAAGGUUUUUAAAACCUAAAUUUAAGCUGCUUACCGUACAAGAGAUCAGUGGCGGAUACUUCGCGAAAUAUUGGGGGUUGGGGGCGAAUUAGUUUGUCAACAUAUGACCAACCUUUGUAGGUGAAAAUCUUAAUGCUUUAAACUUUUUUGUCUUAAAGUUGCCAUGCAAUAUUUAGCUUAAUUUGUAGUGUAACAAUGCUUUCAUGGUUGAAAAAUUAUUGUUACAGCUUUGUUACACAGUUAUUCAGCUAUCAUUCAAAGGCUUUCAGAAAUUAAUGUGGGCGGUUGCCCCCAUGCCCCCUCUCUCUAGUGUCCGCUACUGCAAGAGACCUACUGUUCGUGACCGGACUAUCACUUCACCAGCCUAAGCUGCAUGCUGGUACUUUUGAAGAAAAAUUGUUACAAAAAUCCAAAUUUAUUGCUGAUGUUAAUAAUCUUUUCUGCUAAUUUGUAUUAUUCUUUUUUUCUUAUAAUUUUUCAAUUUGGACUUUUAUCCUGGGCUGAACAUUUGAGCAGACAAAAAUAAGGUAGG